rnacentral:rRNA from 1 species
GACAGAGGAGCCAAGCGUUGUCCGGAUUGACUGGGCGUAAAGCGCACGCAGGUGGUGGGGCAAGUGCCGUGUGAAAGCCGGUGGCUUAACUGCCGGAGGCCAUGGCAGACUGCCUGACUUGAGCCCGAGAGAGGUCCGUGGAAUUGCCGGUGUAGUGGUGAAAUGCGUAGAGAUCGGCAGGAACACCCAAGGAGAAAUCAGCGGACUGGCUCGGUGCUGACACUGAGGUGCGAAAGCGUGGGGAGCGAACAGG